UUCAAUCUCAUUAUUUGCAUGUUUAAUUUAAUAUUCAUGCAAUUAAUUGUGCUUUCAAUUAGUGUGGAAGUUGAUAUGUUUGAUUUUGUGCAUGUACUUUAUUUUUUCUAUUUUCUGUUAGAAAUUAAUUUACUUUUCCUUGGAAAUCGUUGAGCUCCUAGAAGUUUUUGCCUUUUUUCUUAAUUUGAUCGAAAUCCAUUUCUUACCCACAUAACCUAGAGUCUCCUGAUGAGUUUUUCGUCGUUCUCAGUGUGUCUGAUUUAAUUUUUUUUUUUUUUUUUUUUGUUUUCGAUUUACAGAUGGAUUUUGUGUUUAAAUUUUCUUUUUAUAAUUUUGGGGGUUUUGUUUAUGUGCUCGGAUGCUGUGUGUGGCUGUCUGAUUUCGUUCUUUUUUUGCUUUCAGCAAAUGCUGGUGUUCUUAUUUUGGGGUUUUGCUGAGGGUAUAUAAUUUGUUGAAAUAUUUAGUUUUUAAUACAUUAACAAUUUUGCUGGGUCAGUUUUUGUUAUCGACUGUUUUUUUUUUUUUUUUUUUUUUUUACUUUCGAUCUCCUUCUAUUUGAGUGGUAUGCUGGUAUACAAUUUAUUGUCCUAAAUUCACAAUCUUACACUUCACAAAUUUCACUGCUCAACCUAUACUCAGUCUACGUUCAUUUUGAUUGAGUUGUUUUAAGGAUUUUGUGGGAGGACUCCCUUUGGAAUUGCCGAAUGCUGUUAUUUGUCGGGUGGAUGCCUUGGACGUAGAGUUAAUUCCUACUAAAAAGUCAUUUCGAACUCGGAUUCAGCCAGCCUGUGAUCUGUGCAAAAUAUCCAUAUAUGGAUCAGUGCCAUGGACUCUUUUCAACCUAUGGACCUCAAAUCUCAUAUACGAACAUAAAAAAAAGCCUCCAAACCUCCAAAGACAGUAGCAAGAUCUUUGUUGAUGUGCUCAGGUAGAAAUUACAGAGGAGCUUAUUUGUUGGAGAUUUGAAGAGUAAAACUUAGCAGCGUGGUACCGCCGAAAGUGGUAAUUGCUAAUCAGGGAUAGAGUGAGCGAAUCAUAGUUUGACCAAGUCUUGAAUGAUGAAUUGAGCCAGAUCAUUGAGGUCUCUUUGUCAAGUUAAAUUUUCAUUCGACUUUUUAUUUGUAAUGCUUGGUUCUUCACUCAAACAUUGCUUAUGAAGUGAACGAAUUUGCAUAAGUUUGAAUACAUUUCCAAUCCCGCAGCAACGCG